GCCAAGCUUGCUUGGUGGAUCAGUGGCGAACGGGUGAGUAACACGUGAGCAACCUGCCCUGGACUCUGGGAUAAGCGCUGGAAACGGCGUCUAAUACUGGAUAUGAGCUCUCAUCGCAUGGUGGGGGUUGGAAAGAUUUUUCGGUCUGGGAUGGGCUCGCGGCCUAUCAGCUUGUUGGUGAGGUAAUGGCUCACCAAGGCGUCGACGGGUAGCCGGCCUGAGAGGGUGACCGGCCACACUGGGACUGAGACACGGCCCAGACUCCUACGGGAGGCAGCAGUGGGGAAUAUUGCACAAUGGGCGGAAGCCUGAUGCAGCAACGCCGCGUGAGGGAUGACGGCCUUCGGGUUGUAAACCUCUUUUAGCAGGGAAGAAGCGAGAGUGACGGUACCUGCAGAAAAAGCGCCGGCUAACUACGUGCCAGCAGCCGCGGUAAUACGUAGGGCGCAAGCGUUAUCCGGAAUUAUUGGGCGUAAAGAGCUCGUAGGCGGUUUGUCGCGUCUGCUGUGAAAUCCCGAGGCUCAACCUCGGGCCUGCAGUGGGUACGGGCAGACUAGAGUGCGGUAGGGGAGAUUGGAAUUCCUGGUGUAGCGGUGGAAUGCGCAGAUAUCAGGAGGAACACCGAUGGCGAAGGCAGAUCUCUGGGCCGUAACUGACGCUGAGGAGCGAAAGGGUGGGGAGCAAACAGGCUUAGAUACCCUGGUAGUCCACCCCGUAAACGUUGGGAACUAGUUGUGGGGACCAUUCCACGGUUUCCGUGACGCAGCUAACGCAUUAAGUUCCCCGCCUGGGGAGUACGGCCGCAAGGCUAAAACUCAAAGGAAUUGACGGGGACCCGCACAAGCGGCGGAGCAUGCGGAUUAAUUCGAUGCAACGCGAAGAACCUUACCAAGGCUUGACAUACACCAGAACACCGUAGAAAUACGGGACUCUUUGGACACUGGUGAACAGGUGGUGCAUGGUUGUCGUCAGCUCGUGUCGUGAGAUGUUGGGUUAAGUCCCGCAACGAGCGCAACCCUCGUUCUAUGUUGCCAGCACGUAAUGGUGGGAACUCAUGGGAUACUGCCGGGGUCAACUCGGAGGAAGGUGGGGAUGACGUCAAAUCAUCAUGCCCCUUAUGUCUUGGGCUUCACGCAUGCUACAAUGGCCGGUACAAAGGGCUGCAAUACCGUGAGGUGGAGCGAAUCCCAAAAAGCCGGUCCCAGUUCGGAUUGAGGUCUGCAACUCGACCUCAUGAAGUCGGAGUCGCUAGUAAUCGCAGAUCAGCAACGCUGCGGUGAAUACGUUCCCGGGUCUUGUACACACCGCCCGUCAAGUCAUGAAAGUCGGUAACACCUGAAGCCGGUGGCCCAACCCUUG
rnacentral:rRNA from 1 species